GUCCUUUUGGUUUUUAUUUAAGGUCUAACCUGCUCUAUGAAUAUUUAAAUGGCUGCAGUAUUUUAACUGUACUAAGGUAGCAUAAUCAUUUGUCUUUUAAUUGGGGACUAGAAUGAAUGGUUGGUUGAAAAAUUAUUUUUAUUAUUAUUAUUUAUUUGAAUUUAAUUUUUAAGUUAAAAAGCUUAAAUUUUUUUAUUAGACGAGAAGACCCUAUAAAACUUUAUAUAUAUUAUUUUAUAUUAUUUAUAAUUAAAAUUUUUUAAUUUAUUAUUUAUUUCAUUGGGGUGAUGGUGAAAUUUUUUUAACUUUUAUAUAAUUUUUCAUUAUUUAUGUUUUUUUGAUCCAAUAUUUUUGAUUAUUAGAUUAAGUUACUUUAGGGAUAACAGCGUAAUUUAUUUGGGGAGUUCAUAUCUAUAAAUAAGUUUGCGA
rnacentral:rRNA from 1 species